AUCAUCGAUGCUGCUUUUUUGUAGCGACUUGUGUUAUAACUAAAUUCUUAUAACUAUGUGGCGUACUUUACUGACGAUGUAAUUAUUAAGCAUUUUCUUAUUUCCAUUAUCUAUGCUUAGAGCUAGACUUUGUAGUAUCAUUUUAUGACUGAUUUCUCGACUGAAAGUUACUUUUGCUUACAACAGGUUCAACUCAAAGACAUUGUGUGCGAACUGUGCCACAAGAAAUGCAAAAGCAAGAGCGGACUGAAACGACACAAGACAGUUAAACACAGAGAUACGAGAGAAGAUGUUGAGAAGCAGAAAGAAGGAGGACAAGAAAGCUAUUUAACUUUUGUAGCUUACUCAAGAAUUGUAGAAAAAGCUAAACACAAAAUUGCUGACAACAAAAUUUAUCCAAAAACAAUCAGAGACGAGCUAAGAUGCUACACCCACAACAACAGUCUACAAGACAUACCAGCUGAAUUCUGCGACAUUGAAGACCUAUAUAAACGCUUGACAAAGUCUGGAAAUGCUGAAAGAUUUUAUUCUUGCUUCUACUCAACCAUGGCUCUGAAUGUAGUUAAGCAUUUUAAGGGAUUAUCAAGGAACGCUGCUACUCUACUGUCUACCAAGGUUGCUGAUUGUAUGUUGGCACACAGCAAGGAGAAAAUUGAAAGCACUUAUACUUGCGCCCCAUUAACUAAACUUUCAGAUGACGAAAAAGCUGGACGACAGUAUAUUGGCGGUUAUGUGCUUCAUAAACUUCAUACCAAGCAUGCCAGUAAAUCAUCAGAAAGUGAGCAGGCAAUCUCCAUCCUUAAGGCUGGCAAAUUAGAAGACCAGAAUGCUAUUGAAUGCCAGAAGUUAACUUCAUCCUUAAAUCGUGGUGGUUUGUGGGCAAUUACAAAAAGUGCUCAAUCAAUUUUUGAGAGAACUGAACAUUAUUUCAGGGAUACCACUUCAAAUACUACUGUGCAAAAUGUAGCUUUUGCUAGUAUUAUAUCAAGAUCUGUUCAUGAUGUUGAAGUUGUCUCAGCAUACAAUUCACUGUUAUCCAAUUCUCAACUGAUAAUCAACAGUAGUGUUGCAAAAGAUGUUUUGCACAACAUCAUACAAAUGUAUAUCAAAGUGCAGUCAUUUUUCUUUUGCGAAAGAUAUCAUCCAGAAACAUAAGAUUAGACUGAAACAAAUGAAAUACAAAGCACUUCAUAAGGACAUUAGCAGAGCCUCCCAUGAGUUUGAUCAACUAAGGCAAAGCUAAACUCUGAAAAUCAUCAUGCGAGAAACAAUUUAAUUUAUUGACCCCUAGACCAUAUUUGUAUAUUCCUAAUCAUUUCUAAUAAGUUGCUGUUGCAUUUGUUGUUAAAAAUUUUAAAACAAUAACUGAUUAAGAAUAAAAA